rnacentral:rRNA from 1 species
GACGAACGCUGGCGGCGUGCCUAACACAUGCAAGUCGAGCGAAGUGAGUACUACGGUACGAACUUAGCGGCGGACGGGUGAGUAACGCGUGGACAAUCUACCCUGUAGACUGGGAUAACACCUCGAAAGGGGUGCUAAUACCGGAUAAUGUCGAGAAGCGGCAUCGCUUUUCGAAGAAAGGAGAGAAUCCGCUAUAGGAGGAGUCCGCGUCCCAUUAGCUAGUUGGUGAGGGUAACGGCCCACCAAGGCGACGAUGGGUAGCCGGCCUGAGAGGGUGAACGGCCACACUGGAACUGAGAAACGGUCCAGACUCCUACGGGAGGCAGCAGUGGGGAAUAUUGUGCAAUGGGGGAAACCCUGACACAGCAACGCCGCGUGAGCGAAGAAGGCCUUCGGGUUGUAAAGCUCAAUAGUAUGGGAAGAUAAUGACGGUACCAUACGAAAGCCCCGGCUAACUACGUGCCAGCCGCCGCGGUAA